AAUCCAUAGGUUAAUGAGGCGAACCGGGGGAACUGAAACAUCUAAGUACCCCGAGGAAAAGAAAUCAACCGAGAUUCCCCCAGUAGCGGCGAGCGAACGGGGAGGAGCCCAGAGCCUGAAUCAGCAUGUGUGUUAGUGGAAGCGUCUGGAAAGGCGCGCGAUACAGGGUGACAGCCCCGUACACAAAAGCGCAUGUGCUGUGAGCUCGAUGAGUAGGGCGGGACACGUGGUAUCCUGUCUGAAUAUGGGGGGACCAUCCUCCAAGGCUAAAUACUCCUGACUGACCGAUAGUGAACCAGUACCGUGAGGGAAAGGCGAAAAGAACCCCGGCGAGGGGAGUGAAAAAGAACCUGAAACCGUGUACGUACAAGCAGUGGGAGCACCCUUUGGGGUGUGACUGCGUACCUUUU
rnacentral:rRNA from 1 species